rnacentral:lncRNA from 1 species
UCCUGGAGAGAGACCCUCCUAUUGGUCCUGGAGAGAGACCCUCCCAUUGGUCCUGGAGAGAGACCCUCCUAUUGGUCCUGGAGAGAGACCGUCCUAUUGGUCCCUAGAGCGUAGUAGUGCUCCAGUAACGGGUGUUGGACACCCCUGGUGUGCUGUAGUAGAGAGGAAGAGGGUUUCAGAAAGUAGUAAUACAACGAGUAAUAUAUCAGUGUUUCUACAUCCUGCGUUACUUCCUGUUUGGGGGGUUUUAGGCCGGGUUUCUGUACAGCACUUUGUUGACAUCAGCUGAUGUAUUGAAAGGGCUCGAUAAAUACAUUUCAUUGAUUGGUUGAUAAAUACAUUUCAUUGAUUGGUUGAUAAAUACAUUUCAUUGAUUGGUUGAUAAAUACAUUUCAUUGAUUGGUUGAUAAAUACAUUUCAUUGAUUGGUUGAUAAAUACAUUUCAUUGAUUGGUUGAUAAAUACAUUUCAUUGAUUGGUUGAUAAAUACAUUACAUUGAUUGGUUGAUAAAUACAUUUCAUUGAUUGGUUGAUAAAUACAUUACAUUGAUUGGUUGAUAAAUACAUUUCAUUGAUUGGUUGAUAAAUUAAUUUCAUUGAUUGGUUGAUAAAUACAUUACAUUGAUUGGUUGAUAAAUACAUUUCAUUGAUUGGUUGAUAAAUACAUUUCAUUGAUUGGUUGAUAAAUACAUUACAUUGAUUGGUUGAUAAAUACAUUACAUUGAUUGGUUGAUAAAUACAUUUCCUUGAUUGGUUGAUAAAUACAUUUCAUUGAUUGGUUGAUAAAUACAUUUCAUUGAUUGGUUGAUAAAUACAUUACAUUGAUUGGUUGAUGAAUACAUUUCAUUGAUUGGUUGAUGAAUACAUUACAUUGAUUGGUUGAUAAAUACAUUUCAUUGAUUGGUUGAUAAAUACAUUUCAUUGAUUGGUUGAUAAAUACAUUUCAUUGAUUGGUUGAUAAAUACAUUACAUUGAUUGGUUGAUAAAUACAUUUCAUUGAUUGGUUGAUAAAUACAUUUCAUUGAUUGGUUGAUAAAUACAUUUCAUUGAUUGGUUGAUAAAUACAUUUCAUUG